GUGCUUGUUUUGGCAGUACAUAUACUAAAAUUAGAACGAUAGGGAGAAGAUUAGCAUGGCCCCUGGGCAAGGAAGACAUGCAAAUUCAUGAAGUGUUCCUAAAUAAA
rnacentral:snRNA from 1 species